GAUGAACGCUAGCGGCAGGCCUAACACAUGCAAGUCGAGGGAGAAGCCCUUUCGGGGGCAGAAACCGGCGCACGGGUGCGUAACGCGUAUGCAACCUACCUUUCACAGGGGGAUAGCCCGAAGAAAUUUGGAUUAAUACCCCGUAAUAUUAUUGGAUGGCAUCAUUUGAUAAUUAAAACUGCGGUGGUGAAAGAUGGGCAUGCGUCCUAUUAGCUAGUUGGAGUGGUAACGGCACCCCAAGGCUACGAUAGGUAGGGGUCCUGAGAGGGAGAUCCCCCACACUGGUACUGAGACAGGGACCAGACUCCUACGGGAGGCAGCAGUGAGGAAUAUUGGUCAAUGGUCGGAAGACUGAACCAGCCAUGCCGCGUGCAGGAAGAAUGCCUUAUGGGUUGUAAACUGCUUUUAUAUGGGAAGAAUAAGGCGUACGUGUACGUUGAUGACGGUACCAUAUGAAUAAGCAUCGGCUAACUCCGUG
rnacentral:rRNA from 1 species